UACGUAGGUGGCGAGCGUUGUCCGGAUUUACUGGGCGUAAAGAGCGCGCAGGCGGUCGUACAAGUCGCGUGUGAAAGCCCCUGGCUCAACUGGGGAGGGUCACGCGAUACUGUUCGACUUGAAGGCAGGAGAGGGAAGUGGAAUUCCCGGUGUAGUGGUGAAAUGCGCAGAUAUCGGGAGGAACACCAAUGGCGAAGGCAGCUCGCUGGGACGGUACUGACGCUGAGACGCGAAAGCGUGGGGAGCAAACAGG
rnacentral:rRNA from 1 species